UUCUUGUGCUUUUUUAUAAAGCAUCCUGCUCUGCACCUGAUUCCCCCUCGUCACCAUUCAUUUUGGAAGUCACAAAACCUGGUGCAGCCUCUCCCUCAGUUAUAUGUUGCAGGUUUGCCUCCCCAUGGGUCUCUCCACUAACCUUGGAAUCUUUCACUUCCUUGUCAUUGCUAUUCUCUUCUUCCAGAUCAUCCAUGGAAUGUUCAGGAGUUGCCUUUGAAGGUAAAUCCUCGUGCAACCCAUCAUCGGCUUGGAAACCGACAAUAGCUUCCACAAAGACAACAUCAGAAACCAGUAAUAUAUUGUUCUCUACUUGGUCAUGGAUGAUUCUAUCGUCUCCAAGCUUCUUCUCUUCCUUCUCUGACCUGCUCAGAAGCAUAACCAAAACGAAAUCACCAAUCAUUGCACCAAUCAAACAAAAGACUUAAGGUUUGAUAUAAAUUCCAACAACCCUAACAAUAAAAUAGAGUAGAAACAAAACAAUAGCUCAGGAUUAUCACCACAAACUAUAGAGUACUCGUCUAUUUUCAAAGAUAUACAUAGAAGAAGAAUUCAUUGAAAAUGAAACCAUAAAAGCUUACCCGAAAGAGAGGAGAACAGCUUUCUUCUCAGGGGAGACGAUUCCAUUUUCAGAAAAAGAAAGUGUAGCUGUCUCGCUGACAUUCCCUGCACCUGCUUCCCCUUCAUCACCAUUCAUUUGGGAAGUCACAAAACCUGGUACAGCCUCUCCCGUAGUUAUAUGUUGCAGGUUUGCCUCACCAUGGCUCUCUCCAUUAACCUCUGGCACUUUCACUUCCUCUGAAGGCAAAUCCUCGUGUAACCCAUCAUCGGCUUGGAAAGAUUCAGGCUUCGAACUGUCGAUAGCUUCCUCAAAUACCUCAUCUUCGGUAUCCCUCGCAUCAACAUCAGAAACCAUCAAUUCAAUUCUCUUUACUUGCUCAUCGCUGACUCUAUCUGCAAGCUUCUUCUCUUCCAUAUCUGACCUGUUCACAACCAUCAAAAAGAAAAUCCUUCAGUGAACCAAACGCCACCAAGAGUUCCAAGUGAUUCAUCACAACCUCCGUCUGAGAACCAGAGAACCAGAUUCCUUCUGAUCUCCUCUUCCUUCUGACGUUCCUGAAGACGUCAUGCAUCGUAUCGGCCGAUCCUUCAUUCCCUUAGAACCCGUGCAGAUACCACGGCUCAGUUCUGUGAAUCUCACGAUCUUCUCGUUUCUCCUUUGUUCCUCCGCCGCGGUUCUCUGGUUCUCAGACAGAGGUUGAGCCGGCGACGGCAAGGUUUUCUGUGGCAAGCCUCCAUCGCUGCGUUUAGAUCUCAUCGGAAUCCUUCGAGAUAGAAUAACACUUCUUUUAGGAUCACUGGAUAACGUGGAUUAAGAGAGGAAAAGCAAAGGGUUUCACGAUUUGAUCUAGCAAAAUGGGAUCUGGAAAAAUGAAAAAGGGAAACGUCAAAUCUAUGGCCUCUCGGAUCGCGAAAGGCGUGAAGAAGAACCAAAGAAACGGAGCUGGGCUUGAUGACGUGGCAGAAAAACGAUCUUUGAUUGGUCAAUUUUAUUGUGUGACGUGGACAUCCUCUUUGAUGCUCAUAUAACCCUUUUAAUAUAGUAUAGAUAUGUAGAGAGAAAGUGCAUUAACUAAAUCAUAAAUAUUUAGUUUCGUGUUUCAAGUAAUUAAUAAUAAUAUAUGUACUACUUCGAUCUUCCUCAAAGAUAAAUAUUUUUGGAAAAUACUUUUUUCACAAAGAUAAUUUUUUGUGUUUAAAAAUACUUUUUUCACAAAGAUAACUUUUUUUGUUUUCUAUGUUUUUUACUAUUUAAUGAUAAAACUAUUAUUUAAAAAAUAAACUUAUUAAAAUACUACUCCCUCCGUUUCGAUUUAAGUGUCGUUAUAGGAAAAACAUUUCGUCUCAAAAUAAGUGUCGUUUUAAUGCAAAAUUUAUUAAUAAGAUUAUGCACUUUAUUUUUUUAUUGGUUGAAAAAUGGUUAGGUGUAUAGGUAAUUGUGUUUUUGUUUUGGAAAUAUAUAAAAUCAUAUGUUUUUUUAAUCCAUAUGCAUAAACUUAGAACAACAAUUAAAAUGAAACAGAUGGAGUAUCGGUUUAACUAUUAAAACUGAUAAUCAUAGAAAAUGUAUUAAUUAUACAAAUUUAGGGUGUUCUUGAUAUGUGUGCUCAAGUUUAAAAAAAAAUCUAUUUUCGUGGAACAAACGAAAUAACAAUUAUGGCAAGAAGUUAUAUUGUAACAAAAAAAAUUAAAAAGAGUUAAAGGCAUGGAAGACAGAUGUGGCCAGAGGUCGUGAGGUUCCAAGUAAAGGCAAAAACUUCGACUGUUACAAGAAAAUUACUUGUCCGAACACACAAAUUCUAUAAAUAUUAACGACAUGUGAUCACCUGCAUUUCUUCAUCAAAAUUAUCAAACUCUUAAUACACCAAAAACAUUAGAAAAUGGAGACAUUACUUACAUCAUUGGCUAUGGUUGUUGUAUUGUGGUGGAUAUGGAGAAUUGUGGAGUGGGUUUGGGUUAAGCCUAAGAUGCUAGAGAGUUACCUCAGAAAACAAGGUCUUGUCGGCACUCGUUACACGCCUCUUGUCGGAGAUGUGAGAAGAACUUUUAGCAUGUUGAAGGAAGCAAGAUCGAGACCAAUGAAACCAACGGAUGAUCUCAUUUCACUUGUCAUGCCUUACUCCUUUCAAAUGCUCAAUACUUACGGUAGAUAUGUUUUUCUUGGUUUGGAUUAUAGAUUUUUUUAUUUAUAAGUAAAUUGUCCUGAUAUAUGUAUGUGGCUGCAACAGGAAAUACCUUUUUCACAUGGUUAGGACCCGUACCAUCCAUCACAAUAAUGAAUCCACAACUGAUCAAAGAAGUGUAUAACAAAGUUUAUGAUUUCCCAAAGACUCACACGUUUCCUUUGCUUGCGUUGAUAACUGAUGGACUCGCUAAUGCUGAUGGAGAUAAGUGGGCUAAACACCGGAGGAUCAUCAACCCGGCAUUCCACUUUGAGAAGAUCAAGGUUUCUAGAUUCUCUUUUCUAAUAUGUCAGAUCCAAGUUAAAUUUCUUUUGACUAAUGAGUUGAUCAUAUUCCAACUUAUGUGCCUGUAUAUAUAGAAUAUGGUCCCUACGUUUCAUCAAUGUUGCCGCGAGGUUGUGUGCGAGUGGGAAAAGUUAGUUUCAGAUAAAGGGUCCUCUUGUGAGGUUGAUGUUUGGCCAUGGAUUGUGAAUCUAACCGGGGAUGUGAUUUCUCGUACCGCUUUCGGUAGCAGCUAUAAAGAAGGACAGAGGAUAUUCAUACUACAAGAGGAACUAGCAAAGCUCAUCAUGCAAGCUCUUGGAAAGAAUUACAUCCCUGGAUAUCGGUAAGAAACUUGACUUGUUUUGGUCUAAUACUAGCAUGACUGAUUUGUUUUCUAACACAAUAUACAAUCUUCUUAUGUUAUUUGGAAGUCACAAAACCUGGUGCAGCCUCUCCCUCAGUUAUAUGUUGCAGGUUUGCCUCCCCAUGGGUCUCUCCACUAACCUUGGAAUCUUUCACUUCCUUGUCAUUGCUAUUCUCUUCUUCCAGAUCAUCCAUGGAAUGUUCAGGAGUUG
rnacentral:lncRNA from 1 species